AGACGGGACCCGCACAAGCGGUGGAUGAUGUGGUUUAAUUCGAUGCAACGCGAAAACCUUACCACCUUUGACAUGGCAGGAAUCCUGAAGAGAUUUGGGAGUGCUCGAAAGAGAACCUGCACACAGGUGCUGCAUGGCUGUCGUCAGCUCGUGUCGUGAGAUGUUGGGUUAAGUCCCGCAACGAGCGCAACCCUUGCCAUUAGUUGCUACAUUCAGUUGGGCACUCUAAUGAGACUGCCGGUGACAAACCGGAGGAAGGUGGGGAUGACGUCAAGUCCUCAUGGCCCUUAUAGGUGGGGCUACACACGUCAUACAAUGGAUGGUACAAAGGGUCGCCAACCCGCGAGGGGGAGCCAAUCCCAUAAAGCCAUUCGUAGUCCGGAUCGCAGUCUGCAACUCGACUGCGUGAAGUCGGAAUCGCUAGUAAUCGUGGAUCAGAAUGUCACGGUGAAUACGUUCCCGGGUCUU
rnacentral:rRNA from 1 species